ensembl:lncRNA
GUCCGAUAAGAGGACUGCAACUCAUUCACGUGCUCCCAGAUUCUGGAGGCACUUGUAAUUAGCAUUCUCUAUGGAGGGGGUAGCUGUGCUUCAGUUCUUAUGAAUUCCAAUUCGGCACGUUUUUUUUUUCUUCACCCUGGAAUAUGGAAAUGUCCCGCUCUCAACACACUGUGUCCCACAAGUAUAACUUGUGCAGCCUCUUUAAUUCAGAACUAUGAUCUGCGCACCUCCUUGCUGGCGUGUGGGGUCUUUCAUCGGCCAAAAGGCCGAGGCAGCAAGAGUUACAGGAUAGAACGUUGUGGCCUACGCAGCGCUGACGGGCUGUAAACGUGUGUGAGGAGUCCUAAAACAACAUGGGUAAAUGCAGGAAGGAGAUGAAUGGACGCAAAGUAAUCCAGUGGUGGAAGAUGGCUGUUCUGAUUUAAAAA